rnacentral:lncRNA from 10 species
CUGGCUGGUGCCCGGGCAGAGUCGCAGGGAAGAGAGGCCAAGAGCCAACGCUGACCUCACUGUGCGGGUGCACUGGGGGCCCCUGCGAAGCUGACCUCACUGCGCAGGUGCACUGGGGGCCUCCGUGAAGGGGUCGGUGAGGAGCUGGACAAAGAUCAGAGCAGGUUUGAGAGAGAAUGGGAAGGCAGAACCUGGAGCUUGCAAAUGAAGCAGUGGAGAGGGAUGUGGAUCGAUGUUUUGGUUUUUUUAAUGGAGCAGAUUACAGUUUACAGAUUGCUGAGAGAAUGGUCCAACAGAAAGUGAGGAGGAGGAAUGAGUCUAAUGUCUGUACGAAGCAACUAGAGUCUUGUUAAAAUGCAGAUUCCUUCAAACCUAGGGAUCCUGAAAAAAAGAAAAAUGCAGAUUCUCAGAGGGAGAGAGUCCAGGGGUGCGGGGGCCAGUCAAAAAAACUACCUACUGGAUACCAUGCUAAGUGAUGCGAUCCUUACUGCAGACCUCAGCAUCACGCGAUAUACCCAGGUAACAAACCUGCACAUGUACCCCCUGUAUUUAAAAUAAAAGUUGAAAUUAGAAA